rnacentral:rRNA from 1 species
GAUGAACGCUGGCGGCGUGCCUAAUACAUGCAAGUCGAGCGAACAGACGAGGAGCUUGCUCCUCUGACGUUAGCGGCGGACGGGUGAGUAACACGUGGAUAACCUACCUAUAAGACUGGGUUAACUUCGGGAAACCGGAGCUAAUACCGGAUAAUAUAUUGAACCGCAUGGUUCAAUAGUGAAAGACGGUUUUGCUGUCACUUAUAGAUGGAUCCGCGCCGCAUUAGCUAGUUGGUAAGGUAACGGCUUACCAAGGCAACGAUGCGUAGCCGACCUGAGAGGGUGAUCGGCCACACGGGAACUGAGACACGGUCCAGGCUCCUACGGGAGGCAGCAGUAGGGAAUCUUCCGCAAUGGGCGAAAACAUGACGGAGCAGCGCCGCGUGAGUGAUGAAGGUCUUCGGAUCGUAAAACUCUGUUAUUAGGGAAGAACAAAUGUGUAAGUAACUAUGCACGUCUUGACGGUACCUAAUCAGAAAGCCACGGCUAACUACGUG